rnacentral:tRNA from 1 species
GCAUUGUUAGCUCAGUCGGUAGAGCAGCUGAUUUCUUAACCAGCGGGUCGCAGGUUCGAUCCCUGUACAAUGUACCA